rnacentral:rRNA from 1 species
CGCCUUUUGUAAUAUUCACAUAAAAGGUCCUGCCUGCCCAAUGACUUAUUUUAAUGGCCGCGGUAUUAUGACCGUGCAAAGGUAGCGUAAUCAUUUGUCUCCUAAAUAGAGACCAGUAUGAAUGGCAAGACGAAGGCCUUACUGUCUCCCUAGACUAAUCAAUGAAAUUGAUCUCCCCGUGCAGAAGCGGGGAUAAAAGUAUAAGACGAGAAGACCCUGUGGAGCUUCAAACUCUAAUGCUAACUAAAUAUAAAUAUUAUAGCACUAAGCUUUAGGUUGGGGCGACCAUGAGGUAUAACUUAACCCUCACGUAACAACAAGAAGGACACUUCAAACAACUAACACAGCACUUGACCCAAUAAUUGAUCAACGGACUAAGUUACCCCAGGGAUAACAGCGCAAUCUACUCAAAGAGUCCCUAUCGACGAGCAGGUUUACGACCUCGAUGUUGGAUCAGGACCCCCAAAUAAUGCAACAGCUAUUAAAGGUUCGUUUGUUCAACGAUUAAAGUCCU